GAUGAACGCUGGCGGCGUGCCUAACACAUGCAAGUCGAGCGAUCUUCUUCGGAAGAGAGCGGCGGACGGGUGAGUAACGCGUGGGUAACCUGCCUCAUACACAUGGAUAACAUACCGAAAGGUAUGCUAAUACAAGAUGAUAUAAGAGAUUCGCAUGGAUUUCUUAUCAAAGCUUUGCGGUAUGAGAUGGACCCGCGUCUGAUUAGCUAGUUGGUAAGGUAAUGGCUUACCAAGGCGACGAUCAGUAGCCGACCUGAGAGGGUGAUCGGCCACAUUGGAACUGAGACACGGUCCAAACUCCUACGGGAGGCAGCAGUGGGGAAUAUUGCACAAUGGGCGAAAGCCUGAUGCAGCAACGCCGCGUGAGCGAUGAAGGCCUUCGGGUCGUAAAGCUCUGUCCUCAAGGAAGAUAAUGACGGUACUUGAGGAGGAAGCCCCGGCUAACUACGUGCCAGCCGCCGCAGUAACAC
rnacentral:rRNA from 1 species